rnacentral:rRNA from 1 species
UGGGAACCGGGAGAGGAAGGGGUAAGUAAGAGGCCUUCCAGAGGGGGAUAAAUAUUGGAAAUGAUAGGUAAUAUGGGAUAAGAGUGGAGGACACAUGUCAGGGGUUUGAAAGGGGCAAUUGCUCCACUACAAGAUGGAGCGGCGUGGUAGUAGCUAGUAGGUGGGGCAACAGGUCACCUAGGGGACUAGGCAUAGCCGAUCUCAGAAGGUGAUCGGCCACACUGGGAGUGAGACACGGCCCAGACUCCUACGGGAGGCAGCAGUAGGGAAUCUUCGGCAAUGGGGGCAACCCUGACCGAGCAACGCCGCGUGAGUGAAGAAGGUUUUCGGAUCGUAAAGCUCUGUUGUAAGUCAAGAACGAGUGUGAGAGUGGAAAGUUCACACUGUGACGGUAGCUUACCAGAAAGGGACGGCUAACUACGUGCCAGCAGCCGCGGUAAUACGUAGGUCCCGAGCGUUGUCCGGAUUUAUUGGGCGUAAAGCGAGCGCAGGCGGUUUGAUAAGUCUGAAGUUAAAGGCUGUGGCUCAACCAUAGUUCGCUUUGGAAACUGUCAAACUUGAGUGCAGAAGGGGAGAGUGGAAUUCCAUGUGUAGCGGUGAAAUGCGUAGAUAUAUGGAGGGACACCGGUGGCGAAAGCGGCUCUCUGGUCUGUAACUGACGCUGAGGCUCGAAAGCGUGGGGAGCGAACAGGAUUAGAUACCCUGGUAGUCCACGCCGUAAACGAUGAGUGCUAGGUGUUGGAUCCUUUCCGGGAUUCAGUGCCGCAGCUAACGCAUUAAGCACUCCGCCUGGGGAGUACGACCGCAAGGUUGAAACUCAAAGGAAAAACGGGGGCCCGCACAAGCGGUGGAGCAUGUGGUAUAAUUCGAAGCAGCGGGAAGUACCUUACCAGGUCUCGACAUCCCGACCCUAUGUGCAGAGAUCGAAAGCUCGUGCGGUACAUUGGUGACAGGCGCCGCAUGGCAGUAGUCAUCUCGUGUCGUUCCAUGUUGGGUUAAGUCCCGCAACGAGCGCAACCCGUAGGGUCAGCUUCCAUCAUUCACUUAGGCGCUCUAGCGAGACGGCCGGUAAUACACCCGAGGAAGGUGGGGAUGACGUCAAAUCAUCAUGCCCCUUAUGACCUGGGCUACACACGUGCUACAAUGGUUGGUACAACGAGUUGCGAGUCGGUGACGGCAAGAUAAUCUCUUAAAGCCAAUCUCAGUUCGGAUUGUAGGCUGCAACUCGCCUACAUGAAGUCGGAAUCGCUAGUAAUCGCGGAUCAGCACGCCGCGGUGAAUACGUUCCCGGGCCU